rnacentral:lncRNA from 1 species
AAAAACUAUUUUAUAAAAUUGGAUAUUUUUUUUAUUUAUAUUUCAAAUGUUAUCCCCUAGCCCAGUUUUCCCUCUGCAAAUCCCCAUCCCAUCCCCUAUAUGCCUGCUUCUAUGAGGGUGUUCCUCCACCCACAUAACCACUCCCACCUCACCACCCUGACAGUCCGCAUACACUGGAGCAUCAAGCCUUCACAGGACCAAACGCCUUUCCUCCCAUUCAUGCCAUAUAAGGCCAUCCUCUACUACAUAUGCAGCUGGAGCCAUGGGUCACUCCAUGUGUACUCUUUGGUUGAUGUGUCCCUGGGAGCUCUAGGGUGUCUGGUUGGUUAAUAUUGUUGUUCUUCCUGUGGUGUUGAAAACCCUUUCAGCUCCUUCAGUCCUUUCUCUAACUCCUCUAUUUGGGUCCCUGUGCUCAGGCAAGUGGUUGACUGCAAGCAUUCACAUCUGUAUUUGAAAGGCUCUGGCAGAGCCUUUGAGGAGAGAGCUAUAUCAGGCUCCUGUCAGCAAGUACUUCUUGGCAUCUGCAAUAGUGUCUCCGUUUGGUG